rnacentral:lncRNA from 1 species
CCUCUUGAGCUCUUGUGGUGACCUGGGAAUCAAUGUGUGAGGUGGUGCUAUGUAGCAGGAACCCCUCUUGCUUUGCAAAUAGUUUUUUGUUUGUUUUCCUUUUUGCCCAAUAGAGCCCUGCUCUACUGACCCUUCAAUGUGCCCGUGUGCCUAAAUAUUCCUGGUCGUGUGAAAAGAACCCAGGUAUUAGCUGAACUAAGGAGCACAAUUCUGCAACAUUUUGGCACCCAAACACGGGGCUUGAGAAAUGAAUGCAAUUGGAGAAACUGGUUGUUUUACCAGGCGUUGAUUGGAAAUGUGUGCUUCCCUUUAAGCAGUCAAGCUCAACUUGCAGAACUGAUGGGAACCCCUUGGGAAAACUGGCCUCAAAUGUUUGUCUACACAGUCCACAUACAGGGUUCUUAACCUGCGAUGAGGGAAACUUCCCAGGGCUUGUCUGGGUAUGCCCACAGUGGACUGGAGCCCAAAAUGCACACUGGAGGAAGUGGAUGGAGCCACGUGGAUGUCAUGCCUUAUGCAGGGGAGGAGCCUGCUCUCUUCAGCUCCUGUGGUAAUGUGGGAAUCGAUCUGUGAGGUGAGGACCUGUUAGCAGGAACCCCUCUUGCUUUGCUGAAAGUUUUAUUUUUCUUUUUGCCCUAUAAAACCCUGUUCUACUAACCCUUCAAUAUGUCUGCAUUCCUAAAUUUUCCUGGUCAUGUGACGAGAACCUAGGUUUUAGCUGAACUAAGGAGCAAAAUUCUGCAACAUAAAGUCAAAGAAAACUAUGCCUAUAUCCAUUAAAUCAAAUGUUAAAAAGCAAAUAUAAAGAAAAAGUCUUCACAGCCCUAGAGAAAAGUGAAACAUUGUACAUAAAGAAGUAAUAAUUUGAAUGGAUUGUCAGAAACCAUGACUAGAAGACAGAGGAGCAAUAUUUUCAAAUUUCAUAGAGAAAGGAAAAAAAGAAAAGAAGAAAAAAAAGAAGACAUAAUAAAACACCUGUCAUUUUAGUAUUCUGUACCCAUUGAACAUAACCUUCAAUAGAAUGUGAAGUAGACAUAUUCAGGUGAAUAAAAAAUCAAGAGAAUAAUAGUUAUGUUCUACAUGAAAUUAUAAAGGAAAUUUCUCAGACUAGGUGGAAAUUAUACUAGUGAGAAACAGAUUUGAAGGACUAAAGGAAGAGAUGAUAGACUGACAAAGUCAAUUUUUAAAAGCCAGAUCUAACUUCUUAUUGGCUACAAGGAAUCCACUUUUAAUAUACAAAAAUAGGUAAUAAUUAAAUUGCUAGAAAAUACAUUUCAAAUAAAGAAUCAGCACAUGUAGCUUGGAGAAGAUAUAUUAACAUAAAAAGGACUUCAAUAAAAGGAGUAUUAUGAGAAGACAUUUAUGCAGCCAAAAAACACAUGAAAAAAUGCUCACCAUCACUGGCCAUCAGAGAAAUGCAAAUCAAAACCACAAUGAGAUACCAUCUCACACCAGUUAGAAUGGCAAUCAUUAAAAAGUCAGGAAACAACAGGUGCUGGAGAGGAUGUGGAGAAAUAGGAACACUUUUACACUGUUGGUGGGACUGUAAACUAGUUCAACCAUUGUGGAAGUCAGUGUGGUGAUUCCUCAGGGAUCUAGAACUGGAAAUACCAUUUGACCCAGCCAUCCCAUUACUGGGUGUAUACCCAAAGGACUAUAAAUCAUGCUUCUAUAAAGACACAUGCACAGGUAUGUUUAUUGCGGCACUAUUCACAAUAGCAAAGACCUGGAACCAACCCAAAUGUCCAACAAUGAUAGACUGGAUUAAGAAAAUGUGGCACAUAUACACCAUGGAAUACUAUGCAGCCAUAAAAAAUGAUGAGUUCAUGUCCUUUGUAGGGACAUGGAUGAAAUUGGAAAUCAUCAUUCUCAGUAAACUAUCACAAGGACAAAAAACCAAACACCACAUAUUCUCACUCAUAGGUGGGAAUUGAACAAUGAGAUCACAUGGACACGGGAAAGGGAACAUCACACUCUGGGGACUGUUGUGGGGUGGGGGGAGAGGGGAGGGAUAGCAUUAGGAGAUAUACCUAAUGCUAAAUGAUGAGUUAAUGAGUGCAGCACACCAGCAUGGCACAUGUAUACAUAUGUAACUAACCUUUACGUUGUGCACAUGUACCCUAAAACUUAAAGUAUAAUAAUAAUAAAAUAAAAUAAAAUAAAAAUUUAUCAGAAAAACAAUAUCAAUUAUAAUGUAUAUACCUAAUAAGAGAGCUCAAAAUAUUUGAAACAAAUCUGACAGAAUUAAAAAGAAGAAUGGAUAAAUUCACAAUUAUAGAAAAAGAUUAUACACCAGUUUCUUAAUAAUUGAUACAACCACUGGAGAAAUAAUAAGAAAGCAAAAAUAAAGACAUAGAUCCAAAUAA